rnacentral:rRNA from 1 species
GGUUAAGCGACUAAGCGUACACGGUGGAUGCCCUGGCAGUCAGAGGCGAUGAAGGGCGUGCUAAUCUGCGAUAAGCGCCGGUAAGGUGAUAUGAACCGUUAUAACCGGCGAUACCCGAAUGGGGAAACCCAGUGUGACUCGUCACACUAUCAUUAACUGAAUCCAUAGGUUAAUGAGGCGAACCGGGGGAACUGAAACAUCUAAGUACCCCGAGGAAAAGAAAUCAACCGAGAUUCCCCCAGUAGCGGCGAGCGAACGGGGAGGAGCCCAGAGCCUGAAUCAGCAUGUGUGUUAGUGGAAGCGUCUGGAAAGGCGCGCGAUACAGGGUGACAGCCCCGUACACAAAAGCGCAUGUGCUGUGGGGCGUUAAGUUGCAGGGUAUAGACCCGAAACCCGGUGAUCUAGCCAUGGGCAGGUUGAAGGUUGGGUAACACUAACUGGAGGACCGAACCGACUAAUGUUGAAAAAUUAGCGGAUGACCUGUGGCUGGGGGUGAAAGGCCAAUCAAACCGGGAGAUAGCUGGUUCUCCCCGAAAGCUAUUUAGGUAGCGCCUCGUGAAUUCAUCUCCGGGGGUAGAGCACUGUUUCGGCYAGGGGGYCAUCCCGRCUUACCAACCCGAUGCAAACUGCGAAUACCGRAGAAUGUUAUCACGGGAGACACACGGCGGGUGCUAACGUCCGUCGUGAAGAGGGAAACAACCCAGACCGCCAGCUAAGGUCCCAAAGUCAUGGUUAAGUGGGAAACGAUGUGGGAAGGCCCAGACAGCCAGGAUGUUGGCUUAGAAGCAGCCAUCAUUUAAAGAAAGCGUAAUAGCUCACUGGUCGAGUCGGCCUGCGCGGAAGAUGUAACGGGGCUAAACCAUGCACCGAAGCUGCGGCAGCGAACGUAUCACUUAAAGCGAUUCAGCGGGUUACGAUUGACGGAGCGAAGCGACGUCAAAGCGUAUACAAAGUCGAGUCGGUUUAAGGAUACGUUCGUUGGGUAGGGGAGCGUUCUGUAAGCCUGYGAAGGUGGCCUGUGAGGGUUGCUGGAGGUAUCAGAAGUGCGAAUGCUGACAUAAGUAACGAUAAAGCGGGUGAAAAGCCCGCUCGCCGGAAGACCAAGGGUUCCUGUCCAACGUUAAUCGGGGCAGGGUGAGUCGACCCCUAAGGCGAGGCCGAAAGGCGUAGUCGAUGGGAAACGGGUUAAUAUUCCCGUACUUGGUGUUACUGCGAAGGGGGGACGGAGAAGGCUAUGUUGGCCGGGCGACGGUUGUCCCGGUUUAAGCGUGUAGGUGUGUGUUCCAGGUAAAUCCGGUUCACUUUAACACUGAGGCGUGAUGACGAGGCACUACGGUGCUGAAGCAACAAAUGCCCUGCUUCCAGGAAAAGCCUCUAAGCAUCAGGUAACAUCAAAUCGUACCCCAAACCGACACAGGUGGUCAGGUAGAGAAUACCAAGGCGCUUGAGAGAACUCGGGUGAAGGAACUAGGCAAAAUGGUGCCGUAACUUCGGGAGAAGGCACGCUGACAYGUAGGUGAAGUGAUUUACUCAYGGAGCUGAAGUCAGUCGAAGAUACCAGCUGGCUGCAACUGUUUAUUAAAAACACAGCACUGUGCAAACACGAAAGUGGACGUAUACGGUGUGACGCCUGCCCGGUGCCGGAAGGUUAAUUGAUGGGGUCAGCGCAAGCGAAGCUCCUGAUCGAAGCCCCGGUAAACGGCGGCCGUAACUAUAACGGUCCUAAGGUAGCGAAAUUCCUUGUCGGGUAAGUUCCGACCUGCACGAAUGGCGUAAUGAUGGCCAGGCUGUCUCCACCCGAGACUCAGUGAAAUUGAACUCGCUGUGAAGAUGCAGUGUACCCGCGGCAAGACGGAAAGACCCCGUGAACCUUUACUAUAGCUUGACACUGAACAUUGAGCCUUGAUGUGUAGGAUAGGUGGGAGGCUUUGAAGUGUGGACGCCAGUCUGCAUGGAGCCGACCUUGAAAUACCACCCUUUAAUGUUUGAUGUUCUAACGUGGACCCGUAAUCCGGGUUGCGGACAGUGUCUGGUGGGUAGUUUGACUGGGGCGGUCUCCUCCUAAAGAGUAACGGAGGAGCACGAAGGUUGGCUAAUCCUGGUCGGACAUCAGGAGGUUAGUGCAAUGGCAUAAGCCAGCUUGACUGCGAGCGUGACGGCGCGAGCAGGUGCGAAAGCAGGUCAUAGUGAUCCGGUGGUUCUGAAUGGAAGGGCCAUCGCUCAACGGAUAAAAGGUACUCCGGGGAUAACAGGCUGAUACCGCCCAAGAGUUCAUAUCGACGGCGGUGUUUGGCACCUCGAUGUCGGCUCAUCACAUCCUGGGGCUGAAGUAGGUCCCAAGGGUAUGGCUGUUCGGUUCUCCCUGAGACUUAGAGUCUCCUGAAGGAACGUUGAAGACGACGACGUUGAUAGGCCGGGUGUGUAAGCGCAGCGAUGCGUUGAGCUAACCGGUACUAAUGAACCGUGAGGCUUAACCUU